rnacentral:rRNA from 1 species
CCUACGGGAGGCAGCAGUGGGGAAUAUUGCACAAUGGGGGAAACCCUGAUGCAGCGACGCCGCGUGAGUGAAGAAGUAUUUCGGUAUGUAAAGCUAUAUCAGCAGGAACGCGACAAGACGGUACCUGACUAAGAAGCCCCGGCUCACUACGUGCCAGCAGCCGCGGUAAUACGUAGGGGGCAAGCGUUAUCCGGAAUCACUGGGUGUAAAGGGAGCGUAGACGGCUGUGCAAGCCUGAAGUGAAAGGCGGGGGCCCAACCCCUGGACUGCUUUGGGAACUGUACGGCUGGAGUGCAGGAGAGGUAAGUGGAAUUCGUAGUGUAGCGGUGAAAUGCGUAGAUAUAAGGAAGAACACCAGUGGCGAAGGCGGAAGACUGGACGGCAACUGACGGUGAGGCGCGAAAGCGUGGGGAGCAAACAGGAUUAGAUACCCCAGUAGUC